UACGAAGGGUGCAAGCGUUAAUCGGAAUUACUGGGCGUAAAGGGUGCGUAGGCGGUUCGUUAAGUCUGUCGUGAAAUCCCCGGGCUCAACCUGGGAAUGGCGAUGGAUACUGGCGAGCUAGAGUGUGUCAGAGGAUGGUGGAAUUCCCGGUGUAGCGGUGAAAUGCGCAGAUAUCGGGAAGAACACCCGUGGCGAAGGCGGCACUCUGGGACGGUACUGACGCUGAGACGCGAAAGCGUGGGGAGCGAACAGG
rnacentral:rRNA from 1 species